CGCCAACACUGAUGACGUCACGUCUGCGACAGAGCUGACGCUGCGCAGGACUGCGCAUGUGCGAGGCGGUCAGACCUGCUGCAGUCAUGUAGAGUAGUUUAUUCUCGGAGGGGAGAAGGUGUGGAUGUUCUUCCAGACGACUCCAGUACCAUCAGGGACACCGCAGGCUGCUGAUGAAUCCCUCCUCUGCACUAUGAAUGCCACAGCGCAGCACUAAAUAGUGCUUCAUUUGAAUGUUCUUCCUUUCUCAUCUACACUUCACCAUAACACAGUAAGCAGCCGUGCUGAAGGAUUGUGUUAUUUGGGAUGGCCAGGGUGGAAAAGAUUAUUCACCGCCUUUGGCAAUAAAAACUGCCGGAGGAGAACUGGGGAGAAUUAUGACAGCAAUCCUUUAGUUUUUCGUUUGUGGAGGCUGUUGUUUUUUUUUUUUUUUUUGAUGCAAAGAGGAUAAAGAGACCUUGAGGUGAAAAACAACAGCAAAUCCAAUUUGUCACGUUCACAAGUGUAAACACCAGCUGCAUUUCUGUUGAUUACUCAUAUGUAAAAUUAUAUCAAACUGGAUUUUAUUACUCAUUACUUGCUGUUUAUUGCAGGCU